rnacentral:lncRNA from 1 species
UGGUUUGCACAUGUCUAUUGUCUAUUACUCGAUUUAGAGCUCUUGGUAAAUUAUAAAGACGAGUCAUAAUUCGAGCAUCAGAUAGAUUUAAUUAAAAUAUUGAAAUUAUCCGAAGGUAGCAACAACGAUCCAUCCAUAGAAUCCCACAUUAAAAACAAAAAAUAAAAAGCUGUUUAGAUCUUAAAAGAUCAGAUCCUCAAUCAAAGAGACUCAUCAUGCCUUCACCAUCAUCCGACUCCUCUUUCUCUUCCUCAACCUUCUUAGAUUCCGCCGCUGGCUCAGCCGCGGAAGGAGCGUCGCCUCCUGCUCCAGCCACCAUAGCAACAGCUGCACCACCGGAAGAUAGAGCCCCCAUCUUCUCCCUCCCAGCCGCGAUCAGCUCCGUCACGUCGUGAUCCUUCACCAGAGAAAAGAACAGAUCCGUCUUCGUCUCGUCGAACUCAGCUCCAACGGAAUCGAAGAUGUUUUUCAGAUCACCUUUGGUUGGGUUCUCGUUUCCGGCGAGUUUCGCGAGGAGAAAAGCAGCGAUAACCUUCAUCGUUCCUCUUCUUCUUCUUCUUCUCUGCACGAACGGUGAAAAACAAAGCGUGUUACUGCUAGGGCAAAGCUGUGUAUUUAUAAGAAGUGUCUUCCCCAUAAUGAGGAGGGUUAGGGUUUUUCGGACGUACGUUACACGAAAGAAAGCCGUUAAUGGGCCCAUGCUGUUAAUGAACUUUAAUGUAAGCCCACUAAUAUUGGAACCAACUUACAAAACUUUUCUUUUCCGGUAAAGUAAUUUCACUGAAAUUAAAACGAGUUUACAACAUCAUUACAUAAACUCCGAAAAUCAAUUAUUACAUAAGCAACAUAUAUUACAAAACGAUAAAAACCAAAAAAAAAAAGAAUUUAACAAUGAUUUCUUUAAAAUUUUUAUUCGCUAAUGAAUUAUUUAGUCAUUUUUGAUGAUCGAAAUAUUGUAAAAGUGAAUUUUUCUUUUUAGAAACUUCAAUUUCACAGAACCCAUUUACAUUUCGUCAACAGUUUGAUGCCAAUUAGUCUUUACCAAUGUCAUCCAAAAUAAUAACUACUUCCAUCGUUUGUAUUCGAUCAUUUUACAAAGAUAGAUUUUCUAUUAUUUUCACAUUUAUUAAAAAAACUCAUUAAAUCACUAUAAUGAAUGUUGUUGUUUGUAAUUUUCAAAUUUUAAUAACUUUUAACCAAUAAUAAUUUAAUAAACUUAAUUAAUUUUAUUGAAGUUUACAAAUUUUUUUUAUAGAAAAUAGAACAUUUAUCUUUGUGAAACAAUUUUUUUUCUAAAACAUGUAUCUUAGUGAAACGGAUGGAAUAUCAUUUUUUCGUAUUACACAAAAAUUGUCACUUCAAAAUUUCAAUCAAAAUUAUAUUACUUACAACUAAAAAUUAAUUGUAAAUUGCAUUAAUUUUAUAAAUAAUUUUAUUUAUCUCAAAUAUUAUUGUUCAAAAUAUGUGUAAUUAAUAACAACUUAAACACAUUCUAAUAAUUUUCUUAAUCUAUGUAAAAAAUAUCAAACUUACACUUAGUAAUUAAUAAUCUCCAGAUCUCAAAUAAACAUUAACCCAUCAUAAAUUUGAUAUUUGACAACUUACAAAACUUUAUUUUAUUUAUGGUCAACAAUUUCUUAAAAUUAAGUGCUGUCUCGUAAGAAAGAGUUAACGAAAAUCUAGUCAAAGGGGAAUUAAAAAGGAAGGCAGGAAAUUACAGUUGGCGCUCCCUCACUCGCUUACCGUCAUUAAAUACUUUUAAAAAGGGGAUGAAAUUGUAAGAUCUCAAAACUACAGGGACAAAUUAAGAAGAAGAAUAUAGUUGAGGGGGUAAGAAUUGAGAAGAAUACAAAUUUGUUACUAAACGUCUGGUCUUCGCCUCCAAAAAGAAAAGUCUUCUCUUUUCUCAGCAGGGAAGGGAAAAAAUGGAUUCUCGAAAUUUUCUCGCGUUUUCGCUAAGUCUUAUCCUGAUUUUCCCUCCAAUUUCGUCUGCUUCCAUCAGAUUCAUCCCUCGAUGGAGUAGUAGUAGUAAUAGGUAAGGUUGUCUCUCUCUCUCUCUAACGAUGAAUGAUGUUCUUUCGCAUUGGUUUGACUGAUAAAUAUUUGUUUUUUUUUUCUUUCUUUUAAUUGGUUGGGUGGGCAGAGAAGGGGCAGUGAUUAAGCAGAAGACGAGUGCUUCGUCUCUAGUUAUUGAUCCAACUCGUGUCACUCAGCUCUCUUGGACUCCUAGGUUUCGUUUGUUGCUUUUGCUUUAAAAAGUCUGAAUUUUUAUUGUUUUGAUUACAAAAGUAUGUGAUGGUUUCUGCAGGGUGUUUUUGUACAAGGGACUUUUAACAGAUGAGGAAUGUGAUCAUUUCAUCAACUUGGUACUAUCAAUCAAAUCAUCUUCUUGAUUAUUUUUGUUUGUUUGUUUGAGGACUUAGUGAUGAUCAUGGAACGUUAUGAGACUUUGUGUUUUAGGCGAAAGGGAAGCUUGAGAAGUCAAUGGUUGCGGAUAAUGAUUCAGGUAAGAGCGUGGAGAGUGAAGUGCGCACAAGCUCUGGAAUGUUUCUUUCCAAAAGACAGGUGAGAGCUUCAGUUUCUAUUACUCAUAACAUGUGUGAAUCAGUAAGGAAAACAUGUUGGCUCUUGUAAAGGUUUUGAAUGAUCUGUUGUGGUUUUAAAUCUGGUUCCGUUUGUAUGUUUUGUUUUGUGCAAUCAGUUGAAUUUUAUUAUCAUGUGUUUUCUGAGGUCUAAUCUUGCUUUUGUUUCUAUUUGACUAGCUUAACUUCACCAAAUAAACAGAUUAGUUCUCUGUUAUUAAUACCACCAAGUAACACUAUCUAGGAUGGUCUUCUUCUGUGGUUAGAAAAAGUAGCUUGAAUGCUAAUCUGGUUAUUCUAAAGGUUUUCUGUGAUUCACUGAUUGUUUGACCCUUGAGCUUGAAAGCAUGAAUGGUAAAGAUUCUGUGUCGGUGCAGGAUGAUAUAGUAGCUAAUGUCGAGGCUAAACUUGCUGCAUGGACUUUUCUUCCCGAGGGUAUUGUUUGAGGCAUAUGUAUACUUUUCUUACUUUAUCUUUAGUAGCAGAAAAAACACUCAUCUCUUCUUUUUUUUUUUACCUGUGUUGUCUAUCAGAAAAUGGAGAAUCAAUGCAAAUACUGCACUACGAGAACGGUCAAAAAUAUGAACCGCAUUUUGACUUCUUUCACGACCAAGUAAACCAACAGCUUGGUGGUCAUCGGAUCGCCACCGUAUUGAUGUACUUGUCCAACGUCAAAAAAGGUGGAGAAACAGUGUUUCCCAUGUGGAAGGUAAUAACGACAUAUGUAUCACAUGAUUUAGAUUUCAUUUCUUGAGUGGCCUCAUUUGAACACUGUUCAUUCAUUCUUAAAGGGAGCAACAGCUCAACCCAAAGACGAUAGCUGGACCCAAUGUGCCAAACAAGGUUAUGCAGGUAGAGAAACACAUACAUGUGUACUUUAUGUAUUCUUCAACAUGCGUUUGCUUUAAGUAUGAUUCUAUCUUUCCAAAUGGUAUAUUGCACAAUCUGAGAGUGUGUGUCUUUGCAGUGAAACCGAUGAAAGGGGACGCAUUGCUAUUCUUUAACCUUCAUCCGAAUGCAACAACAGAUCCGAGCAGCUUACAUGGAAGCUGUCCAGUGGUUGAGGGAGAGAAAUGGUCAGCAACCAGAUGGAUUCAUGUGAAGUCGUUCGAAAGACCGGUGUCCAGGACAACUGGGUGUGUGGACGAGAACGAGAGCUGCGAGAAAUGGGCAAAGGCAGGGGAAUGUAAGAAGAAUCCAGUCUACAUGGUGGGUUCAGAAACAGACCAGGGAUAUUGCAGAAAGAGCUGCAAAGCUUGCUCAUCUUAAGAACCAAGUAACAAUCAAAGCUCUUAUUAAAAAAGGAUUGAAAAUUUUUGUGUGUAGAGAAAAAACCUUUGGUCUAUAUAAGCAAAAAUGUUUGAACACAUACUAAAAAGAAUAAUAAUAAGCUUCUCUGGUUUCAUGUUUAGUUUAUUUGUAGCAUCAACCUCAAGCAAGGAAUACAUGAUAACUGAUUAUGUAUUAAUAAUAUACGUGAUGUAGUGUACAUGAGAUGAUAGUUGUCUAAACUACGUCAUGCACAUAGAGACUCUUAUAUUUCUAAUGAAGUGUAACAAUCAUGCAAUUACCGUUAACUAGGAGCCUUCAAGCAUGAGAUCCUCACCUUUUAUUUCUCUCUCUCUAGACAAGUCUCAGAGCUUUUGCAUUGCAUCAUUCUAUUUCCAUAAAGCCUUUCUUGUGGUACUUCCACACAGCAUCUUCUCCUUCUCUCCUGUCUCUGAAUAACCCACAAAAAAUGGGAAGGCCUCCAUGUUGUGACAAAUCAAAUGUCAAGAAAGGUCUAUGGACUGCAGAAGAAGACGCUAAGAUCCUCGCUUAUGUUGCAAUCCAUGGUGUAGGAAACUGGAGUUUGAUCCCCAAGAAAGCAGGUCUUGUUCAUAAGCUUCUUCUUUCAUUUUAAGAACUCUUCAAUGUACAAGUCUGAGUUUAUUUAUUUUUAUUUUGGGUGCAGGUCUGAAUCGAUGUGGAAAGAGCUGUAGAUUGAGAUGGACUAAUUACUUAAGACCUGACCUUAAACAUGACAGCUUCUCUCCCCAAGAAGAAGAGCUUAUCAUUCAGUGUCACAGAAUCAUUGGCAGCAGGUUACCUAAUUGCUAACUAACUUUUUAACAAUGACAAAAAAUCUAUCAAACUCUACUAAUAAUAAUAAUCUCUGAUGCUCUCAGGUGGUCUUCGAUUGCGCGAAAGCUUCCAGGAAGAACAGACAACGAUGUGAAAAACCACUGGAACACGAAGCUGAAGAAGAGGCUGGUGAAAAUGGGGAUAGAUCCUGUGACUCACAAACCUGUUUCUCAGGUCCUUACGGAAUUCAGAAACAUUAGUGGCCAUGGAAACUCAUCCGAACCUUUUGUCAGAAACUUCAAAACAGAACCAUCUAACAACUCUAUACUCACACAAUCCAACUCAGCUUGGGAAAUGAUGAGGAACACAACAAGCCAUGAGAGCUAUCACAAUUCUCCUAUGAUCUUUACUCAUCCCACUGCAUCUGAAUUCCAUUUCUCUAACCAUUCAAACUUUCCACUCAAUGGAGCCACGUCUUCAUGUUCUUCCUCGUCUUCUUCUGCUAGUAUCACGCAGCCAAACCAAGGGGCUCAAGCACCGGUUACUACAUUCUGCUGGAGUGAUUACCUUCUCUCGGAUCCGGUUUUACCUCUUAGCUCUCAGACACAAGUAGUGGGAUCCUCAGCUACUAGCAACCUCACUUUCGCGCAGAACGAAAACUUCAACGGCCAAGGAGAAUGCAGCUCUCAGAAGAUUGCUUCCAAGGCCUCUGGAACAUGUCACUCCGCGAGCUCAUUUGUGGAUGAAAUAUUGGAUAAGGACCAAGAAAUGCUGUCACAGUUUCCCCAACUCUUGAAUGAUUUCGACUAUUAGAUCCUUCCUUAUGCUAUUGUUGUUGUUGUUACUGCUUCUCUUGUAGCUUAAAUUCGAUGUUUUAUGAUGUUUCAAGAACUACUUUCAUCUAGUUUUUCAAUAAGUUAUAUUAUCUCUUCUCUUUAUCCAAGUUUCUUGGGAUUCACUUAUGUAACAGUCUCUAAACAUACAGAGCUCAAAUAAGUUUACCUCUUUUAUAGAGAAAUAGACCCUCUGGCUAAGGAAGAGGGUCUUAGUUUAUUCCUAUCCUUCGUGCUAAGCUCUUUUAACAGUCUCGCGAGCUUCAAAGUCGAAACCUUUAGAGCUAUGGCGGUCGUGUUAUCUUCUAGCAUAGUCUCUCCACUUGGAAUCAACAUCGAUAUGAGUAAGAAUCUGGGUGUAAAGUACUCUUCUUUCCCCAAAGUUCACCUCUUUGGUAAAUUAUAAAGACGAGUCAUAAUUCGAGCAUCAGAUAGAUUUAAUUAAAAUAUUGAAAUUAUCCGAAGGUAGCAACAACGAUCCAUCCAUAGAAUCCCACAUUAAAAACAAAAAAUAAAAAGCUGUUUAGAUCUUAAAAGAUCAGAUCCUCAAUCAAAGAGACUCAUCAUGCCUUCACCAUCAUCCGACUC